GGGCGGGGAGAGGGCUCCGCGCCCCCGUGGUGGCUGGCUGCGGCCUAACAGCUAACGGUGCCCCCUCCCUUCUCCUUCCAGCCUUCAGGGCGUGCCGGUGGCUUACGACAACGUCAGAGUGGUGGGGGAGCUCGGGGACAUUUACGACGACCAAGGAUUCAUCCACCUGAACAUCGAGGCCGACUUCAUCAUCUUCAGCCCCAAGAAAGGGAAAAAACUGGUGGGUAUAAUUAAUAAAGUGGCCCCUAGUCACAUUGGCUGCCUGAUACAUGGAUGCUUCAAUGCUUCUAUCCCUAAACCUGAACAAAUGUCUAUUGUACAGUGGCAAGAGCUGGGGUUAAAAAUAGGGGAUGAAUUGAAAUUUCAAGUGUUGCACUUGGAUUCUGAUGCAGCUGGGGUGUUCUUUAUUCGAGGAGGACUCACCAAAAGCAGCAUGAAGCCCAAACAAUCUAAGACUGUCACUGGCAGUACAAAUGGAGAUGAAAUUCAAAAGCUUGACCACCAGGGAAAUGGCUUGAAUGACUCUGGGGGAGAUAAUGUCACAGAGGAGCCUCUAGGUGAGAUGGGUAACACUGGGACAGAAGAUGCAGAACAGCAAAGUGUUGAUGCUGUGGAUCGAUUAUAUGAUGAUAAAAACAAAAAGAAGAAGAAAAAGAAAAAGCAGAAGCAAGAAGAACAGGAACAUAUAUUGCCUACCAGUGACUCCAGUGGUUACCAAAGUGACCAUAAAAAGUCAAAGAAAAAGAAAAGAAAGCAUUGUGAUGAAGCUGAGGAAAGUGAAUUAUCUCAGCUGUCACAAGAACCCAAAGUUAAAAAGAAAAGGGACUAAAUUCUGAAGUGCCUUUCCUGAAUAAGAUUUCAGAUGUCUUUCAUGAGCUUUCAAUAAAAUCCUGUUUUGAAAAUG
rnacentral:lncRNA from 1 species